rnacentral:rRNA from 1 species
AAACCAACAGGGCUUGCCUUAGUAGCGGCGAGUGAAGCGGCAAAAGCUCAAAUUUGAAAUCUGGCUCUUUCAGAGUCCGAGUUGUAAUUUGAAGAAGGUAUCUUUGGGUCUGGCUCUUGUCUAUGUUUCUUGGAACAGAACGUCACAGAGGGUGAGAAUCCCGUGCGAUGAGAUGAUCCAGGCCUAUGUAAAGUUCCUUCGAAGAGUCGAGUUGUUUGGGAAUGCAGCUCUAAGUGGGUGGUAAAUUCCAUCUAAAGCUAAAUAUUGGCGAGAGACCGAUAGCGAACAAGUACAGUGAUGGAAAGAUGAAAAGAACUUUGAAAAGAGAGUGAAAAAGUACGUGAAAUUGUUGAAAGGGAAGGGCUUGAGAUCAGACUUGGUAUUUUGUAUGUUACUUCUUCGGGGGUGGCCUCUACAGUUUAUCGGGCCAGCAUCAGUUUGGGCGGUAGGAGAAUUGCGUUGGAAUGUGGCACGGCUUCGGUUGUGUGUUAUAGCCUUCGUCGAUACUGCCAGCCUAGACUGAGGACUGCGGUUUAUACCUAGGAUGUUGGCAUAAUGAUCUUAAGUCGCCCGUCUGG